CAGUCAUUCAGUCAGGUUGUACUAGGUCCUACAGACUAAAUAGAUGCAGUCAUUCAGUCAGGUUGUACUAGGUCCUACAGACUAAAUAGAUGCAGUCAUUCAGUCAGGUU